rnacentral:lncRNA from 1 species
CCUCAUUCCUCCAUUAGACUUCUUCUAUAAUGUCGAUCGCAUCUUUCACGGUUUCAUUUCUUUCCCCCUUUUUCAUUCAACAACUAAUUAAAUGGUAACACCCAGUUUAACGUAAUUAGUUUCAUACACGACUGACUUCUCUACAGUUCUCUACCAAUUCCCACUGGCAGGGUAUCUUUCAAUUUAACACUAGCACCAGCGACGACUAAAGGUAUUUCUACACUUUAGUGCCCCACGAAUUUGUUUUCGCGAAAUGUUUUCAAAUUUGUGUAUUUGUAAAUAACGCUUUGCAGAGAUAAUCUUUUGAGGUUGUAGAUAACGUUUAUGUUGAUAAUAUUACGUCUGCCGUUACGUUCUGAGUUGAAAAUCCGCCGAGGUCGACUUUACCUUUCAUCCCUUCGGAGUCGAUUAUAUAAGUAUCAGUUACGCACUGGGGUCGAUGAAAUCGACUUAAUCCCUUUGUCUGUCCUUGUUUGUCCCCUCUGUAUUUAGCCCCUUGUUGGUAGUAAAGAAAUAGGUAUUUUGUCUGCCGUUACGUUCUGAGUUCAAAUUCCGGCGAGGUCGACUUUGCCUUUCAUCCUUUCAGGGUCGAUAAAUUAAGUACCAGUUACGCACUGGGGUCGAUGUAAUCGACUUAAUCCCUUUGUCUGUCCUUGUUUGUCCCCUCUAUGUUUAGCCCCUUGUGGGUAGUAAAGAAAUAGGUAUUUCGUCUGCCGUUACGUUCUGAGUUCAAAUUCCGGCGAGGUCGACUUUGCCUUUCAUCCUUUCAGGGUCGAUAAAUUAAGUACCAGUUACGCACUGGGGUCGAUGUAAUCGACUUAAUCCCUUUGUCUGUCCUUGUUUGUCCCCUCUAUGUUUAGCCCCUUGUGGGUAGUAAAGAAAUAGGUAUUUCGUCUGCCGUUACGUUCUGAGUUCAAAUUCCGCCGAGGUCGACUUUGCCUUUCAUCCUUUCCAGGUCGAUUAAAUAUGUAACAGUUAUGCACUGGGGUCGAUAUAAUCGACUUAAUCCCUUUGUCUGUCCUUGUUUGUCCCCUCUGUGUUUAGCCCCUUGUUGGUAGUAAAGAAAUAGGUAUUUCGUCUGCCGUUACGUUCUGAGUUCAAAUUCCGCCGAGGUCGACUUUGCUUUUCAUCCUUUCAGGGUCGAUAAAUUAAGUACCAGUUACGCACUGGGGUCGAUGUAAUCGACUUAAUCCCUUUGUUUGUCCCCUCUAUGUUUAGCCCCCUGUGGGCAAUAAAAAAGUAAAUAUUAAAAAAGAAUUGUAUCUUGGAUAAAUUUUGUAUGGUUUUUUUUGUCUCCUCUCCCCUAAAUAUUGACAAUGUUAACAUUUUUCAUAUCUCUCCCCUUCGAUUUUUCUCUCUUAAACAUCAACAUUACGUAAUCUACAUUCUCGAAAGCGUAUCUCUUGCAUAGUGUCGUUUAAAAAAUAAGUAUUUAAAAAGGAAACGAUGGGACCUUUUCGGUUUGAACGGCAGUUUUUAACAAUUUCUAGGUAACUAAAAAAAAUUUAAACUUCGUAUACUGGUAGAAUGUGUUUAUAAAACAUCUUUCUUCGUAUACUGGUAGAAUGUGUUUAUAAAACAUCUUUCUUCGUAUACUGGUAGAAUGUGUUUAUAAAACAUCUUUUUCUCUUGGCUUUAUUGAGAAAAUUCUCUAGUUUGUAAGAUAUUUGUUGUUUUUUUACUUCAAUUUCUGCAAUUUCAACCAAUCAAUUACGUCCAUUGAGGUAAAAAAAAUCAUUCUGUGCCGUAUGAAUAUGUCCCCCGUUUAAGAAACAGAUUGGAUUUAUUUACAUUUCUGAAGACAAAAAGAUACCCUUCCCCCACCCCUAACUCUAACCCUAACCCUAAAACAGAUUGAAAUGCAAUAGAUCGAUACUAGGGUCAUAAUUAUGGGUGACAAUUUCAUAUGACACCGCUAGAAAAACUGCCGUUCAAACCAAAAAGAUCCAAACGAUGUUUGGGAGAGUGAAGUAUUUAUUAAGUGUUAUCAGCAUAAUUAUAAUGUACAGUCUUGGGAACGUCUCUCUUUACUCUUUUACUCUUUUACUUGUUUCAGUCAUUUGACUGCGGCCAUGCUGGAGCACCGCCUUUAGUCGAGCAAAUCGACCCCGGGACUUAUUCUUUGUAAGCCCAGUACUUAUUCUAUCGGUCUGUUUUGCCGAACCGCUAAGUGACGGGGACGUAAACACACCAGCAUCGGUUGUCAAGCAAUGCUAGGGGGACAAACACAGACACACAUACAUAUAUAUAUAUAUACAUAUAUACGACAGGCUUCUUUCAGUUUCCGUCUACCAAAUCCACUCACAAGGCAUUGGUCGGCCCGGGGCUAUAGUAGAAGACACUUGCCCAAGAUGCCACGCAGUGGGACUGAACCCGGAACCAUGUGGCUGGUUAGCAAGCUACUUACCACACAGCCACUCCUGCGCCUCUGGAACAUAUAUAAGGAUAUCCACACAUCUUUGUCUUCCCCUCAACUUUGUCUCCUCAUAACUUCUAGAAACAUUUGUAGAUAAAAUUAUGCGAUGUGUGUGUGUGUGUGUGCAUUCACCAAAAAAAAAAUUUUUUUUUUUCACAUUACAUCUCGAUAUAAUUAUAAUCCACGUCAUCUGGAAGAUAUUUGUAGGAAAUUUCAUUAAAAAAAAACAAUCCACUUUUCUCGAAGUUACGAGGAAACAAAUUCAGGGGAGAUGCAUACAUGUUUAGAUAGGUAGUAUAUUGAGGUAGUAGGUAUUUAAAAAUGGGGUACUUGUAUAUAACCAUAGGCACGUCAGAGAUUAUAAUGAACUUUAAAUAUAUAUAUAAAAACAGACUUCUCAAAAUUGAAUAGCCUGCCCCCUGUCACUAUCUGGUCCUUCCAACUUCUAGUUUUUUUUCAUUUCAGAUUACAGUAUAUUGUUUAUAGCAACUGGUCAUGCCACGAACACCAGAUGCGAAGGAGCUGUCAGAUUUUCAAAGAGGACGUAUUGUGGGUCAGUCUGAUAGUGGACGUAGCCAGCGUAAGAUCGCGCAAAACCUUGGAAUUCCUCUUGCCACAGUCAACAGAGUGAUUGUCCAGUUCACCAGCGAAGGAAAGGAGUCAACCGCCUCCCGCUCAGGUCGACCUGGGCCCUCUGAUAAGUGUCUUCAGACUGUUAAACAGAUUGUUGAAAGUAACCCCCAUUGCAAGGCAGCUGAUGUUGCAGAACAACUUCAAAAGAGUCGGAGUACCUCUGUGAGGUAUCUUCAUCAACUUGGUUACUACGGUAAAGUAGCCAGAAGGAAACCUUCUUUGACCCACAGAUAUCCAAAGGAUUGGACAAAUAAAAUGGCAGAGAAAGCCAAAUGGGUUAAAACAUUAAAACCUGCAGAAGAAAUGUCAACUACAUCCUAAAUGAAUUAUUUAAAAAAAUCAGAUAACAUUAUUUUCUUUCUUGAAAUUAAAUCCUUAAAAAAAA